rnacentral:tRNA from 1 species
GGGUCCUUAGCUCAGCUGGGAGAGCGCCUGUUUUGCACGCAGGAGGUCGCCGGUUCGAUCCCGACAGGAUCCACCA